GCCGCUGUAGCUCAGUUGGUCAGAGCAUCCGGCUGUUAACCGGACGGUCAUCGGUUCGAAUCCGAUCAGCGGGG
rnacentral:tRNA from 1 species